AGUCGUAACAAGGUAUCCGUAGGUGAACCUGCGGAUGGAUCAUUAACAAAGGUCCAUCCUUCCAUUUGUGAACUGGUCUUUACCGCGGUUGGCGCCGUGCCUGCAGUUGGGUGAUUCCGCUCUGGGCGCCGGGGCUGAUUGUAGUGGCACUAACGCCGCUGCGAUUGGGCUCGGGGUGUCAACUGUACCCUUAAUCGUAUUUACAAGAAGCACUAAAGUACGUUUCCUAACAGAAACAAAAUUACAACUUUUAGCAAUGGAUCUCUAGGCUCUU
rnacentral:misc_RNA from 1 species